rnacentral:rRNA from 1 species
GACGAACGCUGGCGGCGUGCUUAACACAUGCAAGUCGAACGAAGUGGCGAACGGGUGAGUAACGCGUAAUCAACCUGCCCUUCAGAGGGUGACAACAGUUGGAAACGACGGCUUAUACCGCAUACUGAAGGAGGGGAUUGCGUCUGAUUAGCUAGUUGGAGGGGUAACGGCCCACCAAGGCGAUGAUCAGUAGCCGGGCUAAGAGGGUGAACGGCCACAUUGGGACUGAGACACGGCGAAGACUCCGACGAGUGACAGCAGUGGGGAAACUGCCGCAAUGGACGAAAGUCUGACGGAGCAACGCCGCGUGAGUGAUGACGGCCUUCGGGUUGUAAAGCUCUGUUAAUCGGGACGCGGUACCGGAAGAGAAAGCCACGGCUAACUACGUGCCAGGAGCCGCGGUAAUAG